rnacentral:rRNA from 1 species
UACGGAGGGGGCAAGCGUUGUUCGGAAUUACUGGGCGUAAAGGGCACGUAGGCGGCGAUGCGGGUCAGAUGUGAAAGCCCCGGGCUCAACCUGGGAAUGGCAUUUGAAACUGCAUUGCUUGAGGACGGAAGAGGAGAACGGAAUUCCCAGUGUAGAGGUGAAAUUCGUAGAUAUUGGGAAGAACACCAGUGGCGAAGGCGGUUCUCUGGUCCGUACCUGACGCUGAGGUGCGAAAGCGUGGGGAGCAAACAGG